AUACUUACCUGGCAGGGGAGAUAACUUGAUCAUGCAGGUUUUUUUCCCCAGGACGAAGCUUAUCUAUCUUUGCACUCCAGAUGUGCUGACCCCUGCGAUUUCCCCAAAUGUGAGAAACUUGACUGCAUAAUUUGUGGUAGUGGAGGACUGCGUUUGUGCUCUCCCCUG